rnacentral:rRNA from 1 species
GAUUGGUUGGUGUGCAGGUUUGGAGCUUUGAUUCUCCCAAAUCUGUAAGCACUCUGCCUGGGCACUCGAAAUCACUGAACUGCCUUGCUUUCUUCAUAUGUCAAGAUCAAGAAUUUUUGGUUACCGGCUCAGAUGAUCAUAAUGCCAAGAUAUGGUACUUGCAGGAGAACAUAUGUGCAUAUACACUUGAAGCUUUCACAUCGCCAGUUAGGUCUGUCCUAUAUCAGCCCAAUCUUCAUACUCUAAUUAUAGGUUCAGAUGAUGGUGCUAUUUAUUUGUGGAGCACAAAAAAUUGCAGGACAUAUUCAGACCCCCCUACGCUUACAAGAAUCAUCAAUAUUGGUUGUAUUGGAGCUGUCUACCAUCUUGCAAGUGCGAUGG